rnacentral:rRNA from 1 species
CACGUAGGGACCAAGCGUUGUCCGGAUUCAUUGGGCGUAAAGAGCUCGUAGGCGGUUCAGUAAGUCGGGUGUGAAACCUCCAGGCUCAACCUGGAGACGCCACCCGAUACUGCUGUGACUAGAGUCCAGUAGGGGAGCGUGGAAUUCCUGGUGUAGCGGUGAAAUGCGCAGAUAUCAGGAGGAACACCAAUGGCGAAGGCAGCUCGCUGGGACGUUACUGACGCUGAGACGCGAAAGCGUGGGGAGCAAACAGG